GACGAACGCUGGCGGCGUGCUUAACACAUGCAAGUCGAACGAAGUGGCGAACGGGUGAGUAACGCGUAAUCAACCUGCCCUUCAGAGGGGGACAACAGUUGGAAACGACUGCUAAUACCGCAUACUGAAGGAGGGGAUUGCGUCUGAUUAGCUAGUUGGAGGGGUAACGGCCCACCAAGGGGAUGAUCAGUAGCCGGGUUGAGAGGAUGAACGGCCACAUGGGGACUGAGACACGGCCCAGACUCCUACGGGAGGCAGCAGUGGGGAAUCUUUCGCAAUGGAGGAAAGUCUGACGGAGCAACGCCGGGUGGGGGAUAGCGGCCUUCGGGUUGGAAAGCUCUGUUAAUCGGGGCGCGGUACCGGAAUAGAAAGCCACGGCUAACUACGUGCCAGCAGCCGCGGUAAUAC
rnacentral:rRNA from 1 species